UUAAAAACUUGUGUACCCAAUAAAUAAAAAUUGUAUUUUUAUUUUCCAAGAAGAUUUUCAGUUCCUUCAAAUUUUUCUUUGCUCGGCAGAGCCCAGUCUGACAUCUUCUUGCAUACCCCACAACGCACUCACUUAAGAAAAAAGCAGGAAGGGGUUGGUUUCGAGGGUAAAAUGAACCCUACUUACUGUCUUCUCCUUCUUCCACUCGAUAAAGCUGGUUUUCUCUUGCAGAUUUGUGCUAGAGUGGUCCAUGAAAGCCUUUUGUAUGGGCCUCUCUCUCUCUCUCUCUCUCUCUCUCUCUCUCUCUCUCUCUCUCUCUCUCUCUCUCUCUCUCUCUCUCCCUUUCUGCUAUAUCAAGAGAGAGUGUGUGAGUGUGUGGGCGUGGAACUUUGUGAACAGAAGUUAGAAGAUUGAAGGGGAUGUGAGAUCUGAGGAGGUGAAAAUUGAAAAAAACAUCCUUAGAAGCUCAAGAAAGCUGUGGGAAAACAUGGCAAAUUCAGGAUUUUUUUUUUCAAGCCAUUGUGUUGCAGAGAAGAGAAAACUAUCUUGAUAUUCCUCUACACAUGUUGUGAAACUCAGCAGCUUCAGAUUCAUCUUUAUGGUAACACCACUUGUUCU